rnacentral:rRNA from 1 species
GCCGCAGUAUUUUAACUGUGCAAAGGUAGCAUAAUCAUUUGCUUUUUAAUUGGAAGCUGGAAUGAAAGGGUUGAUGAGGUAUAUACUUUUUUAAUUUUAAUGUUUUGAAUUUUAUUUUUGAGUUAAAAAGCUUAGAUUUUUUUAUUAGACGAUAAGACCCUAUAGAACUUUAUUUUUUUUAUUUAAUUAAUUUUUAGUUUAUUAUUUUUGAUUUAAAAGGUGAGAAUUUAGUUGGGGUGACUUUUAGAUUUUACUAACUCUAUUUUAUGAUUGUCAUUGAUUUAUGUUUUAUUGAUCCUGUUUUAUAGAUUAAUAGGUUAAGUUACCUUAGGGAUAACAGCGUGAUUUUAUUUGAGAGUUCAUAUUAAUAAUAAAGUUUGCGACCUCGAUGUUGGAUUAAA